GUGUGUGUGUGUGUGUGGGGGCUUGUAUUUAUGUGUGUGUGUGUGUGUGUGUGUAUUUCAGUGUGUACUUGUGUGGGUGUGUAGUUUGUGUAUGAGUUUGUGUAGGAUUGUGCAUGUGUGUGCGUUGUGUGUGUGUGUGUGUGUGUGUGUGUGUGUGUAGUAUGAGUUUGUGCAGGAUUGUGAUAGUUGAUGGGCUGAAGUGAGGAAGUGGGGGAAGGAAGUGACUAAUCCAGCUAGAUUAAACUUGAAUAAUGUUAUUAUGAUUACCAUCUUUUUAUUCAGGCCUCCCUAUGUAGUGACCGUAGACAGGUAAAACAUGCAGUUCAAAUGGAGACAAAUUAGUUCCAAGAACCCCUUUAUUAAUAAGAAAUUAUGUGGAUGGGGGCAAGCUCCAAGAAUGGACUAAAUCCUUUGGGGCCAGAAGUUUGUCUACCAUCUAUGGAGGUGGAGAUCCACAGAGUGAUUAUGUCAUUAUAUACUCUCUUCAUUCUGUCUCUGUUGGUGAUUAACCACCAUAUUGACAAUGGUUCAGAGUCACACCAGAUUGAAUUUACACUAAAUCGAAGUGAUACCAGAUUUAGUUCAUACUAAACUGAAGUUGCACUAGAUUAAAUUCACACUAAACUAAAGUCAUACCACAUUCAGUUCACACUAAACUGAAAUCACACCAGAUUAUAUUCACACUAUACUGAAAUCACACCAGAUUAUUAUUUUUUUUUCACACUGAUAUCACACCGGACGAAUUUCCCACCAGAUUAUAUUCCUGCCAUAACAGAAUCGAGACCACACCCGAUUAUGAUCCAGGUCUUGUGCACCAGAAGUUGGGAGAAGGUUAUGAGGGGCCGUAUAGGAUGACCACAGCUGCAGGGCGCGUUCCACCCCCAUGAUGUGUCGUAGAAUCCACGCUGCCACGGCCCCAACGUGACCAGACAAAGGCCUCUGUAAACCAAAACCAUGCUGAUUCCGCCCAUAAAAAAAAAGAUGACUAUUCCCUGUCAGCAUUUUUAUGGCGAUGCUUAGGCUUAAAGCGAAGCUACUCCCAGUUCAGCUUGGCUCGUAGACCAGCCAGGAUCGAGACCCAGAGCCAAGGCCAUUGCACGCUCGGAUUAUGGUUUCAAUGAAACAUGCAAAUAACGUGACCCUUCACAAUCAAGUGUAAUAAAUUGUACAGGAUGCCAACAAUUUUUUUACUACUUUUUUUCAAUAGAUAGAUUUUUUUUUUUAUAAAAACAAAUCAAGAAUAGAUCCAUCUGUGUUUUCGUGGGCCCUGGCCGAUGAGUGAGUCAUCUCUUUUAACAGAUUCCCUGAACCUGAGUCUCUCUCAUGCUCGUGUGAAGCCGUUGAAGCGAG
ensembl:lncRNA